UACAGAGGUGGCAAGCGUUGUUCGGAAUUACUGGGCGUAAAGGGCGCGUAGGCGGCCUUCUAAGUCAGACGUGAAAUCCCCCGGCUUAACCUGGGAACUGCGUCUGAUACUGGGAGGCUUGAGUAUGGGAGAGGGAUGUAGAAUUCCAGGUGUAGCGGUGAAAUGCGUAGAUAUCUGGAGGAACACCGGUGGCGAAGGCGGUUCUCUGGGCAUUACCUGACGCUGAGGAGCGAAAGUGUGGGGAGCGAACAGG
rnacentral:rRNA from 1 species